rnacentral:lncRNA from 1 species
CGGCAAAAACUCAAAAGAUAACAGCAUCUGCAGAGAUGGCAUCCAUGACCAUGACAGCCGCCUCAUUCCUGACCGCAGGCUCAGCCUCAACCAUCGCCAAACCUUCAACUUCCAGCCGCCGGAGCCUCGUCGUAGCCAAGGCCGCCGCCAGAGCCCCAGAGGGAGAAACAAAGAAAGAAGAGAGCAGCAGCAGCAGCGGGAGGAGGGACUUGAUUUUUGCGGCUGCGGCUGUGGCGGCGUGCUCUCUUGCCAAGGCUGCUUUGGCGGAUGAGCCUAAGAGGGGGAGCAAAGAGGCAAAGGAGAAGUAUGCUCCUGUUUGUGUCACCAUGCCAACUGCUCGUAUCUGUCGCAACUGAGUAAACCACUACGUACUUUCAUUUGCUUUGAUUCAGUCACUCGUGGUGGUUGUAUUAUAAUCGUUCUACAACUUUGUAUGAUGCUCUUGUAAUUUUUCUUGGGACAGAUCUGCCUUCUUCCCUCUUCUCAUAUUACAUGUUUAUGUCACUUUUUAUUUUUCUAAAUUUUCUAUGUUGUUAACUGUGCGGAGAGAGCAAAGGGUCUGGUAGCUCAAGUGGUUUAAAACGCAUUUGAACCAAGGGCUUUUGCAUUAAAAAACAACAUGCGGCACAUAAAGAUUCUGGAAUCAAAUUCACUACUUUAGGUAUUGGAAAAGUGAUGAUUUCUAUAGUCCAACUGUAGAACAAAGUUCUACUAUGUCAUCGAUAAUGUGUCAAUAACAUUGUAACUAGCAAAACGUACCGACAUAUUAUCAAUAUAUAAUAUCAAUAAUAGCAAACGAAAAGACAACGUGCAUAUAAGUACAAACCAGCAAACAUAUUACCUUUCUUGAACAGCAUGCAAUCCUCAUGUGGUAUGAUUAUGGCUCUAGCAUUAUGGCAGAGCUUCGUAUUUUAGUUGGUAAUUUUGUAGUCCAACUAUGAAACAAACAUUCGUUCUAGCAAUAUGUCAUUGAUAUGAUGUUUUAGCAGUGUAGUCAACAAAACAUAUUGGGAUAUAUUAUCAACAAUAUUGAUGAAAGAAUGGACAUCUUACACCGAGGAUUUAUGAUAAGUUAUGCGCCCCAAAAGAUGGGCUAGAAUGCUGCAAGGCCCUUGGUCGUGUGGUACUUGCUAGUUGCUACAUACUAGUGAGCAGAGACUCCUUUCAGAAACCUAUACCACCACUCCUCGCCAAAAGGACCGACGCGGCAACACCAGUCAAAUUGCAAACCGCAGCAGCAAUCUAUGGAAUCUAAACACCUAGUCCGGCUUGUCUGGAUCGAACAUAUUGAGUUAAAUUUUCUUGCCAUGGGUUUAUAUGACUCUUUACGUGAUAAGAGAGAGAGAGAGAGCAAUGAUAUACAACCCCGAUAGGUACGUAUUUUACAGGUCCAGGUAUGUCAAAAAAAAAAAAAAAACUGUAAGUCAAGAACCAACUGCGAUCCUCCGUUGUUGAACAGCUUCACAUAAUAUACAUUCUAACUUUUUUUCUUUCGGAUUGAGAGAAUCAGUUGAAAACAUGCGAACAAUCUAAACAGCCGAAAACCGAGAUUUUAUUAAACCAUAACAAUAAUUAAGGAACAGGACUUUAGCCCGAAUACAGGAAACACAAAUCCAAGACACAAAACUUGGAGAGAGAAUCAGGGACCAAAUCCAAGACACAAAACUUCGAUACAAAAUAGUACCAAAUCCAGCCCCCAUUUCGAGUAGCAGCUUGGAGAGAGAAUCAGGGACAUUGUCCAUCAUUCGCCUUGGCAACUUUGCCCGGCAGCAUAAAAGACUGCAACACAAUUUUCGUGGCAAACUCAUUGGCUUUUCCCAUUGUGCUGGGAAGCAACAAAAUUGCGAAUAACUUCCAUUGCUAACUGGUGAGCAUUCUUAUUCUGCAGCUUUGCAAGUUCAUCCACAGCUUCAUACGUUUCCUUAUCAGCAAAAAGUUUCAAGUUGUAACGUGUUGGUGAUGCCUCUGGACCUUCCCAUUUGUCAACCAACUCUUGAAGUUUCUCAAAUCCCUGAUAACAAUAUACCAAUUAGAAUGACCAACAUAUUUUCUUAACACAGUAUUUGAGAUUAAACCACCUUCUUAAUCCUUCGAAGGCCUACAUAUAAUUUAAAAUCUAAUUUAUAACUUACCAAGCGGUUUGUGAAGUUGCCAAAUGACUCUUUAGAUUGUCGUUUACGUUUCCAGUAAUAGAACAAAGGUUCGAAAACCUUUUCAAGGUCUUGAACCUUGACCUUGUUCAUGAAGGAUUUUGCGAGUGAGGUUUGAUUGGAUGUUCCUCCAAGCCAGAUCUAUUUGAACACAAACAGAAAUGAAUAAACGCUCAGUUGCUUUCUUGAUAAUCUGGAUUUGAGCACGAUCAAUAUUGCAACGGAUGUGCCAGAAUUUGAAUUACCUGAUAGCUAUUUGGACCAUCACCAACUAGUCCAAGUUCAGCCAUGUAUGGCCUAGCACACCCAUUAGGGCAUCCAGUAAUCCUUAUAACUACUGAUUCAUUGUACUUCAGACCAACCUGAAAUUCAAAAGAAAAAUUUAUCACAUGCAAUCUAAUUCGUUAUCAAUAAAUGAUCUUGAUUUUCCACCUUUUGUUGGUGCUUUGUGAAAUGUGCUUGUUAUUAUGGUAAUACCUUCUCAAAUACUGCUCGAACCCGCUUAAGAAUGUCAGGUAUACCUCGUUCAGCUUCAGUUAUUGCCAGUGGGCAUAGUGGGAAGGCUGGGCAUGCCAUGGCAGUUAGGUUGAGGGGGUCUACAAACCUAGGAUGCUGCCACAAUUGUAACUGGUUAGUAUGAACCCAAUUUAUAAAAAUUCAUAAUGUAUGAAACUUUCAUAUAAUAGACACAACAUAUUCCAAACAUUUCCAGAUAGACAACAUAAUAACAGGUGAAUAAGACAAUCCAUCAUACCGGGUUGAUAAGGUUCAAGUUAUUGUUGAUUCAUAGAAUAGGCAGUGAAUACCCGGUAGGAGUAUGCAGCAGACAAGUUCAUAUUGAUGUCCACUGAAGAGGGAGUAAAAAUAAUUUAAAAAAAAAAAAAAUAUCUUACCAGCAGACCGGCCUUUGCAAGAACUGUGGUGAUGGGACGCUUCCAUGCACUGCGAAUAUCACACAAUAUGAUAUUCUGGUUUGGUGUGAGCCUUAUACUCAAAUUAUACUUUUCUAUAACCUCUCUUAAUGCCUGCUUCAUAACUCCUCCAAUCCGACCAUUAUCAACAUGAAGCCCACAAUAAUAACUGCCAUCACCCUAUCAAACAAAGAUAAAUAGUCAUGACAUAGCGCUUUGCAAUUUGAAACUUAAGACGGAAUCAAAGACAUUCAAUUCUAUAUGUGAAGACCAACAGAACGAACCUGCUUGUGCCAUCCCAAAUGACUUUUGAAUUCCCACUCCGGCAACUCACGGAAAGGCUCAAAUUUCUUUCCGUAGUAUUGUUCCACUACACUUCUGAACUUUUCAAUCCCCCACGAGCUGAUCAAAUAUUUCAUCCUACUAUACCUACGAUCAUCUCUUCUCCCAUUUUCACGUUGUGUAACAACUAUAGCCUUAAUGGCAUAUAGGAUAUCCUCUUUGGGGACAUAACCCAAUGGCUCAGCCAGACGGGGAAAAGUGGAUUCCAUCCUGUGUGUCCUUCCCAUACCACCACCAACCUGCAGAGAAAAUAAUCAGAAAUCUUGCUUGUGGAGAAAAUGAGCUCACAUAUAAAUGUUAGUGCAUAACUUCGUCUUACAUAUAGGUUAAACCCUUGAGGCUCCCCGUUAUCAUCAGAAACAACCACAACACCAAUAUCAUUUGUGAGAAUAUCCACCGAGUUGUCUGUUGGCACUGUAACUGCAACUUUAAACUUCCUGGGCAAGAACUGAGUUCCAUAAAUGGGCUCAGGUGAAUCAGGGAAGUUUGUUCCAUGAGAAUUAUCAUUGCGGGCCUUUGUUACUUCAGGAGAUUCUGCAGUCAGGAACUUUUCUCCAUCCACCCAAACAUCGUAGUAAAAUCCAGACUGUGGAGUCAGCAAUGCUGCAAUGUUCUCAGCAGUCUGCUGUGCGCAAAGGUAAUCCUUUCUUUGUAUUGGAGCAGGAGGAGCAAGAACGUUUCUGUUAAGAUCACCACAGGCACCAAGAGUUGAACCCAUGCUUCUAAUGAUGCUACUCAUUACAGUCUUUAGAUCCUUUUUCAGAACCCCAUGGAGCUGAAACGUCUGCCUUGUGGUCAAACGAAGAGUACCAAUUCCAAACUGAUCAGCAAGAUCAUCCAUGGUCAAGUAUAAUUGGUUUGACACUUUCCCACAAGGGUUCUUGGUACGAAGCAUGAAGGAGUAGGACCUUCCACCACGUUCAUCUCGGUUAUAUUGUUGAUAGCUCCCGUGGAACUUAAUGAGUUGCGUAGCAGCCUCAUUAAUGUUCGGGGCAUCCGUCAAAAUCUCUUCAUUAAGAGGGUAUCUGAUGAAGUUGCUCUGUUCUUUGAAUAUUUCAACCUUACUCCGCUUCGUCUCAGUUGCAGUCUCGGCCUUUGGAGGCUGCAAAACACAGAACCUAUGAAAACAAGCACAUUUCCUACAAACAACUAACGAUAAGCAAUCUAACUAAAAUUCGUUCCACAUUUUCCGAUCGCCGAGGCCCCUCGGAGCCCUAAUGUUUCUAACUCAUUUAUCCCAACCAAUUGAUGAAACUCAACAAAAUUACGCAUUUUAUGAAGAUUUGAUGCACUGCGUGUCAAUUAUGAUAAAAGAAUUACGUAAAAAUUAAGCAUAAAAUAGCCAAAAAAAAUGCUUCAACUUUUCUAGGUUAAUUGAAUAAUUCACAUUAAUCCAUGUUCGAUAAACUCGGUAAAACAUUUUGACAGUGGCGGCGGCGGCAGAAAUUUACAAAAUUAAAUUCAAAUAAAAACUAAUAGAGACGAAAUAAGAUCUCCAAUCGGCCAAACAGUUGAACCAAAGCACAUUUUGGCUCAAUCUCUCUCUCAAAAAGCACAUUAAUUUAUCAUCUUUCUCGAAUUUUCUGAGCAACCAAACAGAUGUCUAACAAAAUAGAGAGGAGGAUCAGACGUUCGAAAACGCACCGUAGCGACGGCUCGAAUAAGCGAAGAGGAAGAAACGGAAGAGAGAGGCACUUGUCGGCUUCUGGUGAGGCAAAGCGAGUUUGCUGAGCGCAGCCCCUGGUACCUCCCAAUCUGCACCUUGGGCUCCCCCAGCACCGCCGUGUUCGUAGCUCCGAACGUCGUCGUCGUCGUCAUACCAAUCAAAACGACGGCGCUUCGAGAGGGUUUACGAGUUAGAGAGGAGAGAGAGAGAUAUAAGCUGCUGAGUUGCGUAGUGGAAUUGAGCGGUGUAGAGCGGGCGGAAAAGAGGGUUUUUUCUUCUUAAUUUUUAAUUCACGCGCCUACCACGGGAACGUUUCUGUUUUGGGGACUGGGACGCGGAGGAUUGGUGCGCGUGGAGUUUAUCUGACAGAAAUGCGAAAUCAGAGUUCGAUACCUGGGUUGAUGUUACAUCGAACCUGGACGGAAUUGCGUGUUUUUAUUUCGGUUUCGCUUUUUUGCAUGGUCAAAUGCGUCUGCGGUUCUUGAUAAAUUGGUUGGACGCGUGUGGCAGCCCUACUACUUCUGAAGGGAAGAGAUGCAGAGAUCCAACUUGGCUUUGUUUUGACAAUCACGGGGUAGCCUGGUAGUUAGGAAUAAAUUUCAGGCCCAUAUCCACACGGUAUGAUUUGGAUUUGAUUUUUGGAGUUGGUAAAUCGGAUGAUGGUAGUUAGGAGGAGUUGAGAUGCCUUUGUAUAUUACGGUUUAGUGAUAUUUUUUUUCAUUUGUCAGCGAGAGAUCUUAAGUUUCAUUCUUGUUAAAGGCGAAUUUGAAUCAUAUUAUUGCUGACCCAUUAUAAGGCCAAGUCCACCACUCCUUAGUGUGAAUAAUAUCGUUUGUUUAAAAAAAAUAAAAAAAAUAAAGUUUUUUUUUUUCGUUAGCAAUGCAUGUCAGUCUUUGGGCACAAUUAGAUUUUUAAAAUGCUACUAACAAUUUUAUGUUUUAUGGUUAAAUCUUGAUUUUUAUGUUUUAAACAAAUAUUUAUGGUUAAAUCUAUUUGUCCGUUUGAAGACAUCCGAUAAAAUUGGAACCAGACAAAUAUUUAAUGAAGCAAACUCAACUCCAAAAGAAUACGUGUCAACUCUAAUUAAUUAGGCUCGAGUUGUCCAAUUUUAAUCAGUUGACGAUGCAAAAUAGUUAUCACACCAAUGAGACAAUAUGUAGGUUAACAUGGUUCAAGCUACUUAUUAUCGAGUCAUUUACCUAAUUCGAAACUCCCAUAUCUUAAAUUAUUAUAAUAAUUUCGAACCAUUCAUCUCACUUUAUUAAUAAUAAUUAAAAGAAAUUGGGGUCAAACUAAAAUUGACUUGACUAACAUAUUAAUUUGGUUAUUCAUUGAGGCGUGGUUUGCACAUGACCAUUGAAAGCAUCUUUAAUGGAGAGAUGCAAAUUUAAAAUGAAAAAAAAAACCAUAUUUGUUGUAGGGCUAUUUUAUUGAUGGAAAAGAGAUGGGGAGGGCCAGAGGCGGACAUAGAGAUAAGAGAGAGUUAGAAAAUUCUAUGGUGUGAUUUCUCACUUCAUAAUGCAUUUAUUUAUAGUAAUGUUUGGGCUCAAAAUAAUAUUUUGGGCCGAGCUUAGAGUCGUUCUCGGUCCUGUAACAUUCAUCUAGAAUCUUGUCAUGGGUUGUCCAAUCAAGGUUGGCCGAAUCCUAUUACGAAGAGGAUUGGUUUAGAUAAGGGUGAGGUAGUCAAACCCUAGUGCAACAAGAAGUCUUAAAGCUAAGGAUGCUUAGAAUUAGGGGAUGAAUCUGGUUCGUUAAGGAGCUUGUUUCAAAGUCCUAUAGGGGUUAGGAUUGGCCCAAACCUGAUAAUAUUGGGUUGAUGAGUUCUAAUCCAAGUAAAUUUCUAGUUUAGCCAUAAAGGGUUUCACUGCUAUAAAUAAAAAGGGGAGUGCAUCAUUUAAGGCCUCUUCAAAUCAACACACAAAUUGCCCUGCGCAAGCUUUUCAACAAUCCUGAGAUUUUUUCCUCUCCCCUUUUCUUCUUGCCAACACAUCUUCAGUUUAGAUAGACAGAGCACUGUGAAGGUAGCCAGCAACAUCUUUAGUUUGGAUAGACAACACUGGAGCUGUAGAAUCAGCCGACCAAUGAACACCUUCAGUUUGGAUAGACAGCACUACUUCGAGGCCGACUGGUUAUUUAUCCAAGUCCUGGUCAACAAGGAUUUCAGAGUCCUUGUUGGUAGAGGUCAUCUCAUCAGCAUUCUCGGUGAAGUGAGGUGUUAUCAGGUUACUACAUUCGGCACAUUGAAAGUCGAAUUUGAAAUUAAACUUCGUAAAACUAGCAACCUUGUUUCCAGGCUUUAUCGUAAGAUCAAGAAGUCAACAACACGCCCAAUGCCACAUCAACAUAUUUUACUCCCCGGCCGAACUAGGCUGACGAGUUGGCACGCCCUACACACAACCGAAGGAUGUAGUUAGCUUAUUAAUUACUCGGCGGGACCCAGUGCUAAAGCUACAAAGUUCAUAACCAUUGAAACACGGUCAGUAAAAAAGAAAACAGUCAUAGGUAAGUCAACGACUAAUCUUCCAUAUACAGUCCAAAACCCAUGGCAAGAUGGCUUGUCACAGGCACAUAAUCCUCAUGAUGCUGUAACAACUGAAGCCACAAGUACAACACGCCAAGAAAAGGAAAUUAAUCUCCGUGGUCAGACUCGUGAUGUAGAAAUCCCCACCAAAAUGACAAAAGAUGUUUUUGUUAAAGAACUAGUGGAGGAUUGUGAUGAUGACGAUGAUGAGGCCUCUGGUCCACCAUUUAGAUCUUUUCGCCAACGACAAUUUGAAGAACAAUCUCAGCAAUUUAAGCAAAUGUUCAGCCGAUAGGUCAAAAGCAUACUUGAAGAGAUGCAUGAUAAUAACACUGUGCAUAACAGAUUGUUCGAAGUUCUAGUUAAUAAAGUCCACAAAAUUGGACUAGCCGAUCGACCCAACCAACCUCAUAUUCAAAAGAAUAAUCCUUUGCUAGCGAUAUAGGUCGAUACAGGAUCUGCUCGGCCUAAAAUGAUUGACUUAGAAAAAAAUGGUGAACCAAGCAGCAAAUUGGUCAGAAUCGACCAAGGAGCAGAAACGGCGCCUGUUGACAUGGUCAAAGUCCAGAGAAUGAUUGAUUCGGCUUUAAAAAAGGGGCCAAGUUCCCAAAAUUCAUUCACUCAUAUCCAGCCUUUGUAGAAAGGUUCGAAUAUCCUAAGGGAUUUAAGAUUCUAGACUUUAGCCUUUUCACCAGAGAAUCAUCCUUAUCCUUAAUAGAACACGUGGCUCGAUUCACUUCUCAAUGUGGAGAUGUUAACAGUGAUUUUCAUAAAAUACGACUAUUCAAUUUCUCGUUAACUGGCUCAGUGUUCACAUGGUACAUCAACCUCCCACCCAACUUCAUCCAAAGCUGGGAGGAAUUAGUCAAGAAAUUUCAUAAGCAAUUCUAUUGGCCAGGGAUAGAAAUGUCAGUUUCUUCUUUAGCCAGGAUGGUUCAAUCAUCUAACAAGUCACCAAUGGAAUAUCUUACAAGGUUUAAAUUGGCCAGAAAUUGGUGCCGAAUACCCUUAAUUGAAGUUGAGUUUGUUAGGCUUGCCCUGAAUGGCUUGGAUGUGGAGUACAAAAAGAAAUUCUAGGGGGCAGACUUCCGAGAUAUAUACGAACUAGCUCAACAUAUCGAGCAAUAUGAUUAUUUGCUCCGAGAAGAGAAAAUCUUGAAAUCCCUAACCCGAAGAACAAUCUACAAAAAUCCAACGGUAAGUUAUGCAUCGGCCGAAGGCGUAGUGUCCUAAUAUGCCAGUAUAGAUGCGGCCGAGAUAGUAAUUACCAAACUAUACGUAUGCAAAACAUUAGCUCACGUUAAUUCCAAAGAUGUCAAAACUUGCUCGGCCUCUGUGGAAGCCAUAGUCAAAACGUCAAAGGUCUACACUUUUGACAUUACCAAGGCCGACGCUAUUUUCGACCAGUUGUUACUUGCAAAAAUCGUCAAGCUUUGGCCAUGGAAUAAUAUUCCUAAGGCCGAAGAUUUGAAAGGAAAGACGUUUUGCAAAUACCACAACUCAAACAAGCAUACGACAAAUAAUUGUGUCGUAUUUCGCGAUGCCAUCCAAAGCUAGAUCGACAAUGGAAAACUCAAGUUUCCCAAGAAACCUUAAAUGAUCAUUAACGUUGAUCUUUCCCUCCGACUAUAGUAAGUAUGGUAAAUGCUCAUCUACCCAAGCACAAGAGAAAAGGAAAAGCUGGGUUCAUCCCGAAGCAGUAUGUCCCUAAGCAUAAUUCUCAGCCACGAUUGAAAAUUGAUCUUACUUCGAACGAACCACCCAAAUACUUUCAAACCCAGCUUAUGCCGAGUCAAUGUCGGACUUCAGCAUAGAGGAAACUGAUAGUCCGAUGGUUUUAUAUAGUCGGUGCCAAUUAAACGUCAUCAUAACUGAGCCGAAGGAACAUCCAUUUUGGGUUGAAGCACCGCAACUGGCGCUGUAGCUGUGGCAACAUCUCAAAAAAUGCUCGGUGCAGGCCAACGCUAGAUAGCGACUUGAUUUUGAUUGCGCCAUUUUACAAUGAAGAUUAUUAUGUGCGUAACUCUGGUAGCUUAAGUUCACCCGUGAAAUGUCGAACCUUCAAGCCACCUGAGUCACGCGACCAGUGUUGGUAUAGCUACAACCAAUCUACCGGUGCAUAUACUGUGUUGUUUAAAUCGCAGAAAUGUCGUCACCAAAGAAUAAACUGUAUGGCUAAUUGAUAAGUAGCCUAGGCUACCCCAGCUACCAAAUGGCAACAGAAAGAAAUGGUGGGUAACGAAGAUGACCGACAACCUCCGGCAAUCAUGAUUGAGCUGUUUCAAGGAAAUAAGGUAAUUGAUCCUGAUCUUGAAACCACGGUUGAAGAAUAUGAGAAAUGAAUCAAAUUCCUUCUUCGACCUGGGGAUAUGAAAACUCACCUCGAGCACUUUCAGAAGGAAGUCAAAAGCAAACUUCCUCCGCUACCCCCAUAAGAGCCAUUAAUUAAAGUUAGACAGAAUUGCCACCCAUCGCUUCUUGGUGAGCCUUUGGAAUGCAUGCAGGAGUUUCACAAGAAGCAUUCGGCUAAUGACUUGUAUGGCUUGCCAAAAGCAUGCCAAGAGUUUCUUGAUCUGGUGUUAACCUACCCUAAUGCCAAAUAGAUCAUAAAAAAAUAGUCUGAUUUGGGAAUGAAGGAUAGGUUUCAACAUAUACGCGAAGCCCGAGUUCUCGACUUUGAGGUAGAACCACAUACUGAUAUUAAUAUUGCCGAUCUUUCUUUCUUUCUCAAGGACCUCCAAUAUCUGCGGUACCAUUUUGAAGUUUUCUCAGUCGUUUCCCUCUUCGGCCUUACAACCGAUGAAAAAGAGCGCGUGGCUUUACAAGCGCAAGACCAAAGUCCAAUGUCGAGAGAGUCAGUGGUCAAAAUUUAAAUCGAAACAGCUCCGACAGACAUGCCAUAUAAACGUGUUUUUACUGCAGCUAAAGAUAGGCAAACUUGUAAUGCCCAUGAGCAAGACAUCUUGCCUAAAAAUACAAAGGACAAAGAUCACAACCUGAUGGGCCCUUUGGUCCUCGACAUCUUGGAAAUAGCAUGAUCCAUGUCUUACCUGCAGAAUUCUGGUCGACACAUCCUAACCAAAUUUCCUGGAUUUUGAUGUGAUUAUCGAGGGGGCCACGCAAGUUGAUUUUGUGGUCACCAAAGAAAUUAAGCAAAUAAGCAAAGAGGAUAAACUUAAAGCAUCUCUCGUUGAACUAUUUCCCCGUUCUUCAUCUAUUAAUCUUCAUCACUUGAAGCCGUUGUAUGUCAAGACCCAUAUUGAAGGAUACCCAACUUCCAAAUUUUUUGUCGACUGUGGAGCAACGAUCAACAUCAUGCCCAUUUCUAUCAUGAAAGCAUUACAUCGCUCCAAAGACGAACUCAUUCCAUCAGGGGUAAUCCUGAGUAGCUUUGUCGGCGAUAAAUCUCACACUAAGGGAAUGCUUCCUUUAGAGGUGAAUAUUGCAGGUUGAAAUCACAUGACCAUAUUUUUUAUAGUCGAUUGAGUAUAAUGCAUUGCUUGGUCGUGACUGGAUCCACCAAACUGGCUGUAUCCCUUCGUCAUUAUAUCAAGUCUUUAUCUUUUAGGACAACAAAUCAGUUUUAGUUUAUCUGGCCGACAAUCAGCCGUUCGAAGCUAAUAUGAUUCAAGCUCGCUAUUAUGAUGAUCAUGUUGGCUACAUCACCCUGCAAGGUUUCAAUGAAGAAUGACGACCAACUCGGAUCUUAGUUUAGAAAGCCAUAGAGGUUGGCAUCGAGACUGUUUAGCAGGAUUCAGCAAGACUCGGGUUGGCUAGCCUAAUUGAUGAUCUUGAUGCCUAAUACCAAACAGGAUAAACGCCGGACUACGGUUUCAUCUAUCAUGGAACGCUUGCUGGCUCAUUGGUAUACUAUUUCCAAGCAACCAAAUUCUGGUGUGAACUUAGUAGAGUUCCUCGCCGAAAGAGACAACGGUCCAGUCUUAUCAUUUGAUAAAGUCAAAGAUGCCCUAGCCGAGCUUGAAGACAGUCGACCCCAAGUCAAAGAUCUAUUAGACAAAAUAAAUGUUAGAAUGACCGAUGACCCUCAGCCUUUAUUUAUUAGUUCUUUAUUGUCGUAACCUAUAAAAAUUGAGCUUUGUAAACUGUUCAAAGAAUUUAAACACUGUUUUGCUUGGAGUUACCAUAAGAUGUCUGGCCUGGAUCGAUCACUCGUUAAGCACGAAUUACGUAUCAAGGUUGGUUGUAAACCUUUUCACCAACACUCCGACGAUUCUCGAUCAAAGUUCAGCUUGGCAUAAAAGAUGAAUUCAUUUGACUUUUAAAAGUUAGUUUUAUUCAAACAGCUCGAUAUGUCGAAUGGUUGGCGAAUAUUGUCUCCAGUUUUAAAGAAAAGUGGUGCUCUACGUAUUUGCAUUGAUUUUCGUAAUUUAAACUUAGCAAUCCCUAAAGACGAAUAUACCAUGCCAACUCUAGACUUGUUAAUCAAUGCUGCAGCAACCAUGAGAUAUUAUCUUUCAUGGACGGCCAUGCUGGUUACAACCAAAUUUUCAUUGUUGAGGCAGAUGUCCACAAAACUGCUUUUCAUUGCCCCGAGGCACUCGGGACCUACGAAUGGGUCAUCAUGCCUUUUGAACUUAAGAACAUCGAUGCUACAUAUCAACAUGCUAUUGAUGAUGUUGUGGUCAAAUCGAAGCAUUGCCAAAUACAUUUAGAUGAUUUUUGGCAAACUUUCCUUUGUAUGCGCUAACAUAAUCUUAAAAUGAAUCCUACCAAAUGCACCUUUGGUGUAUCGGCAGACCACUUCUUGGGUUUCCUUGUACAUUAUCGUGGCAUCAAGGUAGAUUAGAAUAAAGCUUGAACGAUCAUUGAUGCUCCACCCUCGACAAUCAAGAAGCAAUUACAAUCCUUACUCGACAAAACCAAUUUCCUUUGCCGUUUCAUUUUUAACUUGGCAGGGGACAUGAAGGCUUUUUCCACGCUCUUGAAACUUAAGAUUCUGACAAAUUCAAAUGGCGCAAAGAACAUCAGGACGCUUUCACGAAAUCAAGGUCUCCCUCACUACCCCACCUGUCCUCGUGUCACCUUGGUACGGUAAACCUCUUAAGUUGUAUAUCUUGGUUGUCGAGGAAUCCAUUGGCUGUCUUCUUCCGCAAGACAACGACAAUGGGCGGGAGCAAGCCAUUUUUUAUCUUAGUUGGAAUCUUAACUCAGCUGAGAUAAAUUAUUCAGCCGUUGAAAAACUUUGUUUGGCUUUGUUUUUCACUAUGUCCAAAUAGGCAUUACAUGCUCCCUUAUGUUACUUAGCUCACCGCCCAGACAGAUGUUAAUCACUAUAUGCUCACUCAGUCGAUAGUAAAAGUCCGAAUUGGAAAAUGGACAAUGGCUUUAUUCGAAUUUAGUUUGCAAUAUGAGCCCCAAAAAGCUGUCAAAUGAUAGGCGCUAGCCAAUUUCUUAGCUCAACAUCGUUCUCCAUACGAUUUUGGGGUCAACAAUGUCAAAAUUGGCAUGGUAGAAACACGUGAUAAUUAUUGGACGAUGUAUUUUGACAGCUCUAGUACCUCGACCUCUGCCGGCAUUAGAAUCGCCAUCCAGUCCCCUGAUUACUACCGAUGGUAUUUUUCUCUCAAGUUGGAUUUUGAUUGUACAAACAAUCAGGGUGAAUAUGAAGCCUUUGUCAUCGACUUUAAUGUCCGUCACGACUUGAAGGUAGCCCACGUGCUCGUCCUCGGUGAUGCAGAACUUGUGAUUAACCAACUUAAUGGGACUUUUUGUUACAUAAGUUGUACUUUGGCGCCUUAUCAUAUGGUUGCCAGCUAUUUAGCCAAAUCAUUUGCAGGCAUUACGUUCAAGCACAUCUUACGAGUUCGAAAUACUAAUGCAGAUGAGUUGGCUCAAAUAGCCUCUGGAACACAACUCCUGUGGGGGCGAAUUGGGCCAGGUCAUACCAGUGAUGCGAUGUCUACACUCGGCCUUGUUUAAUCAACAAGUUCUCCAAUAAGACCAUGUAAUGCGUACAUGAGUUAUGUCCAUACCUUCGUUGUUGGAACUGUUGGAGAUAUACCAAGAAAGUCAAUCUUUGGAAGAAACCUUUCAGGACAAUGUUUAUAUGUGUAGAUAACUCUACUACUGCAAAAGGCAAAGUUACUCAUUAGGACUAUCUCAAUAAACGAUAUACGUCAAAAGUAGUGAAUCCAUGGACAAUGGAUCGAUGGAAGAAGUAAUUUAAUGAUGUUAGACUGCAGAGACCUUCUUCACAUAACCAUAAUGUCCAAAAGGUUCUUGGUCAUAGGAUUGUCAGAGGGAUACUGACAAUACAUAGACAAGUCCAUACUAUAUCCCCUUCAAAUGGGAAGGAUGGAAAGUCUCAAGCCAUUUGUGUAGUGACACUAAGACAAGUAUGUAGAUGCUCAUUAAGGGAAUGAGUUCACUGAACACAAUCAAACGAGAGUACUUACAUGGAGGUCUACUCACAUGUCAAGCAAGUAACUCUACUGGUUAGAAUAAUGUAAGUAAUCCUUUGACCUGAGACAUCAUAGUUGUCUUGGGGAUACGUUGCUAAUCAUUUGAUAAUGAGACGUGACCACAUCUCAUCUUGGAUGUGUUCUAUGCAUUGUUAGGGUCAGUGAGUUAUUCUCAGAGGCAUGUGAAUGAUCAACAAGAGAUCUCUAAUCCUUGUUAUGAGAGGAAAAAUACUCUAAGUUAUGAUUUAGGAAUCUUCGACUGAAGUAUCAAGUGUAAUGAUGAAAGGCGUUCCUCUACAACUCAAUUGAAUCAUAUAACUUAGUAUAAUCACAUUAGAGGUUUGACAUAAAGUAUCCAUACCCUAGUAAUGUGAUUGUGAGUAUUGUAUUAGAGAAGGAUUGAAUUACAUUGUAAUUCCAAGUAAAUAGGUUCUCUGACCAAAUUCCACAUUAGCUUGGGUAGCCAUGAUAUAUGGUUAGAUGUCACUCAUGGCUUGUGGGUUCUUCUAGAUGAUUAAAUAAGUAGUCAUCAAAGAAGAAAAGGAGAAUUAAAAGUAAGUUUUAAUUCACUAAGUGAUUGCGUAAACACUAAUCAAUUGGAUUGACACCAAUCACAUCACUGCCUCGCUAAUUGAAACCUAAAACGAUUGUACACCGAUACACUCGUGUGUUGAGAGAAUUAACAGAUGAAGGAAUUAAUUAAUUGGAUUAAUUAAGUGUUAUGAUUGAUUAGAAUGUCUAAAUAAAUCAUAGAGACGAUAAAAUAUCGUUUUGGGCUUAAAGAAAAGUACGGGUACUUUUGCGUCCAUUGGGCCCAAACCCAUUGGGCUUUUAAUUCAAACACAAAAAUGACUUAAAUUAAUAAAAGCCAAAGCCCAAACUAACACAUAGUGGCCAGCCAUUAGGGUGAGUAAAGGAGGGAGGGUAAAAGUUAAUUGUUAACUUACUUAUCUCACCUUUAUAUUGAAAGAUAGAGGAAAAGGUUCCUUAGGGUUUUUGUGUGAGCUUUUGCUUCAAGGGAAAACAAAAUAUCUCUCUCUCAGACACACACACAAGGCCGGCCACUAAGAGGAGAAAAUAGCUAAUUGUCUCUUCUCCUUUUGGUUAUUCCAACAUCCAUCUCACUACACUAGUGGGUGUGGAUCUUUAGAGGUCUUCUACCUUGGAGACUAGAGGAGAAUCAAAGGAGUUCCAAACCUAUCAAGUUGGAACUUCCAGGAGGAGAGGUCUUGAAGGUGGUCACUUAUUGGACUCAAGUCAAGGUCCAAAGGUAAAAAAAAAACAAAAAAGAAAACAAAAAAAAAAAAA